GACGAACGCUGGCGGCGUGCUUAACACAUGCAAGUCGAGCGGUAAGGCCUCUUCGGUGGUACACGAGCGGCGCACGGGUGCGUAACACGUGGGUGACCUUCCCCCAGCUCUGGGAUAAGCCUGGGAAACUGGGUCUAAUACCGGUAAUGACCUUUCCUCUCAUGGGGUUUGGUGGAUAGUUUUUUCGGAUUGUGAUGGGCCUGCGGCCUAUCAGCUUGUUGGUGUGGUGAUGGCCUACCAAGGCGGCGACCGGAAGCCGGGCUGAGUAGGCGACCGGCCAAACUGGGACGGAGGCACGGGUCAGGCACCUACGGGAGGGAGCAGUGGGGUAAAGUGGGAAAGGGGCGGAAGUCAGAAGGGGCGACGGAGCGUGGGGGAUGGCGGCCUUCGGGGUGUAAACCUCUUUGGAACCCGGCGAAUUUGGACGGUAGGGGUAGAAGAAGCACCGGCCAACUACGUG
rnacentral:rRNA from 1 species